rnacentral:rRNA from 1 species
UGGGGAAUAUUGCACAAUGGGCGGAAGCCUGAUGCAGCAACGCCGCGUGCGGGAUGACGGCCUUCGGGUUGUAAACCGCUUUCGCCUGUGACGAAGCGUGAGUGACGGUAAUGGGUAAAGAAGCACCGGCUAACUACGUGCCAGCAGCCGCGGUGAUACGUAGGGUGCGAGCGUUGUCCGGAUUUAUUGGGCGUAAAGGGCUCGUAGGUGGUUGAUCGCGUCGGAAGUGUAAUCUUGGGGCUUAACCCUGAGCGUGCUUUCGAUACGGGUUGACUUGAGGAAGGUAGGGGAGAAUGGAAUUCCUGGUGGAGCGGUGGAAUGCGCAGAUAUCAGGAGGAACACCAGUGGCGAAGGCGGUUCUCUGGGCCUUUCCUGACGCUGAGGAGCGAAAGCGUGGGGAGCGAACAGGCUUAGAUACCCUGGUAGUCCACGCUGUAAACGGUGGGUACUAGGUGUGGGGUCCAUUCCACGGGUUCCGUGCCGUAGCUAACGCUUUAAGCACCCCGCCUGGGGAGUACGGCCGCAAGGCUA